GACGAACGCUGGCGGCGUGCUUAACACAUGCAAGUCGAGCGGUAAGGCCCUUCGGGGUACACGAGCGGCGAACGGGUGAGUAACACGUGGGUGAUCUGCCCUGCACUUCGGGAUAAGCCUGGGAAACUGGGUCUAAUACCGGAUAUGAGCCUCCACUGCAUGGUGGGGGUUGGAAAGGUUUACUGGUGCAGGAUGGGCCCGCGGCCUAUCAGCUUGUUGGUGGGGUAAUGGCCUACCAAGGCGACGACGGGUAGCCGGCCUGAGAGGGCGACCGGCCACACUGGGACUGAGACACGGCCCAGACUCCUACGGGAGGCAGCAGUGGGGAAUAUUGCACAAUGGGCGAAAGCCUGAUGCAGCGACGCCGCGUGAGGGAUGACGGCCUUCGGGUUGUAAACCUCUUUCAGCAGGGACGAAGCGAGAG
rnacentral:rRNA from 1 species